rnacentral:rRNA from 3 species
CAUGUGAACUUACCUAU